rnacentral:rRNA from 1 species
ACGCUAAUACCGCAUACGCCCCAAGGGGGAAAGCGGGGGAUCUUCGGACCUCGUGCUACAGGAUGAGCUUGCGUCGGAUUAGCUAGUUGGUGGGGUAAAAGGCCUACCAAGGCGACGAUCCGUAGCUGGUCUGAGAGGAUGAUCAGCCACACCGGGACUGAGACACGGCCCGGACUCCUACGGGAGGCAGCAGUGGGGAAUAUUGCGCAAUGGGGGCAACCCUGACGCAGCCAUGCCGCGUGUGUGAAGAAGGCCUUCGGGUUGUAAAGCACUUUCAGUGGGGAGGAAAGGGCGCUGGCUAAUAUCCAGUGCAGUUGACGCUACCCACAGAAGAAGCACCGGCUAAUUCCGUGCCAGCAGCCGCGGUAAUACGGAAGGUGCGAGCGUUAAUCGGAAUUACUGGGCGUAAAGCGCGCGUAGGCGGCUUGGUAAGUCGGGUGUGAAAGCCCCGGGGCUCAACCUGGGAACUGCAUUCGAUACUGCUGGGCUAGAGUACGAGAG